rnacentral:lncRNA from 1 species
GCGGGUUCCCUGGCCAUGCCCAGCGGGCCGAGGGAAAGGCUCCGACGGGGCUGCCCGGGUCCUGGCGCACGUCUGCGGACCGACCCUGGGCAUGAAAAGGUCACAGCCGCCAGGGCUGCGUCUCCGACGGUGGCCACCCUAGGUGUGCCGAUCCCGAGAAGCCGGGACCCCGGGUAACCGGCUGCUCAGCGAAGCCUGCCCCCUCCUCGAGUCCGACGGCAGGGCUUCCCGGUCCUGGGAACCCUGUCUGGGCGCUGCUGACCCAUCUCUCUUGUCGGAUGUCAGAGGGGCUAAUGUGGUUUCCAAAACUGGGAGAGAGGACGAAAGGAAGAGCCUGCGCUCUGUACUUGCUUCAAGGAGACGCAAGAAUCAGAGAACUGGCCCCCGCCCAAGACUGUAAGUGAUGGUCCAAGGAUGGGGUGUACCUGUGGGAACUUUGUGUUGCCUGAAGAGGACCCUGGUUUCAGGACUGGGGUCACACAGUACAGGUGCCCUGGCUGAUGGGCGCAGCCUCACCAGGAACUGCCAAGGUGGUCAUACCCCAAGAGGCCUUCAGGUGUGGUUGGUAGCGAAGGAGGGGCCUCUUUGCCUCAGGUGGAACAGCUUUGCAGUGGCAGUCAUGCUCUGUGGCUGCCCGUGGGAUCAGGCUGAGUUUUCUCUGUCCUCCAGAAAUCUUUAUGAGUAGCUGCUCAAAAGGAUGGGAAGCACUUGGCGUAAUAGUCCUAAGAAAAUCAUCCUGUCUCAACCAGAGCUUGAUCUUCUGCCUGCUGCUCUCAGGCUUGAUCAUGAGACUUGCUUUGGCCAACAACCUGCGAGUGGAGGUGAUAUUUGCUGUUUCUGGGCAGAAGCUCUAAGAGCUAGCCCAUAGUUCUCCACGUCCUCUCCCUGAAUCUGUCUUUGUUAGGAUGUCAGCUUGGGUUCUCAGUGAUUCAAAGCUGGUUGUUGACCCAGGAUGGAUGUGCACGAUUUUUAUUGUAUUCUUGCACAGAGAGUACAAGAGCAAUAUCAAGAAACACACAGCUCUAAGAUUCAUAAGUUGAACUCCAGCCCCCAGCCUGGCCGCGUUUGGAGAUGGGAAUUCUUAGGAAGUUAAGUGAGCUCUAAGGGUGGGGUCCCCGCCUCAUAGGAAUAGUGUCUUCUACGAGGAGACACCAGAGGGCGCUCUCGAUGCUCCCACUCCGAGGAAAGGCGAGGGGAGGACCCAGCGAGAAGGUGACCGGCGGCCUGCAAGGGGAAAGAGCCCUCAUCAGGAAUUGCAUCAGCCAGCACCUUGAUCUUGGACUUCUAGCCUUCAGAACUAUGAGGAAAUGAAUUUCUGCUGUUUAUGUCACUCGAUCUACAGUAUUUUGUCAUAACAGCCCAAAAUGCAAUUCAUACAAAAGGAAGUAUUUCAGAGAAGACUAUCAUGACUUUUUUUUGGCCAAGCCUGUGGAAGUUCCUUGGCCAGCAGUAGCCCUGUGAUCAGUGACAAAGCCAAGUCCUUAACCUCUAGGGCACCAGGGUUUAUGGUGAAACUGGAGCAGUGAAUUCUGGUGGAAUUACUUGGGAAUACAGGCAUAUGCAUGACAGUCUGGGGAAGCCAUGUUUGUGUUGUUCGAGGUGAAGAAUUAUCAUCAAUAUGCUGCUUACAUCAUAGGCUGUCCAGUGAAGAUGAAGUUUCCAACAAGGGCCUAGAAGCUCAUGAGCAUAAAGUGCUGGUGCCCUCUCAGGAAGGCUGUGAGCUGGAAGUCACUGCCAGAGAUCGAAUCCACAACCUCAUGGUUCCUAGUCAAAUUCAUUUCUGCUGCGCCAUGACCGGAACUCCGGAUUCUGUGUUUUUAAUGAAUGCACCUGAGGAAUUUUUAUGAUGGUAAGUUUGGUAAACACUGCUUUAGUCCCGCCCAGGUUGGGAUCAGAAUUCUCUUACCCAAAAGGCUGGGCAAGAUUGAGAAGCAGGGCUUCUGGUUUCAGAGGGACAUACAAGCAGUCUGUUAGGAGGCAUCCUGGAGCUAGGAUGCUGUCUGGGGGAGCGGGCUGCCACUUCCUGGGUGCUGGAUUUAGAGGACUGAGGUGUUCACAGUGAGGCUCCGGUGCUCAUGGGAACCGAGGUGACCCUGAGGGAGAGAAUGGCAGUCACGCAUCCCAGCCACAGGUGAGGGCUCUUGACGCAAACGGAAGAUUUAGGCUGGGUAGGAUUCCUAUCUCAUGGCCCAGGGAGGCUGUGGGGAAAGGCCGCUCACUCGUGGGUCAACAGCAGGGGGCGUCUCUCCUGAAAAGGAUCUUGUUCUUGGAUGGUAACCACUGGGGUGAACGGACGGUCCUUAGGAAACCAGAGCUCACCACGGAGACUAGACAGGCAGCGAGGUAACCAGUGUGUUUCAAGCCUUUCUCGUUGGGGUCCAGAUGCGAAAGGAGCUGGUGUCCUUGAAGUUCACGGUCUUGAGUUCAUCAGGGUGGCGGUGGGUGUGCCCUGGGAUAGCUGUCCCUAAGAAGAAGGGAGGACCUGAGCCGGGUGGCGCCGAGGAGCCCCUUCCCGAGGAGCCCCUUCCCACCCGGGAGCCCGCCGCCCUGGAGGGUGCCCUUGGGGUGGAUCUUCCUCAGGUGAGACCAGAGCAGGCAGGUCGAGGUGGGCGUGAGAUGUAAGGGAAUGAUUGGUUGUUUGAUCGGCCCAGAGUGGGACUUAUUGGACCGAGAGGUAAUGCUUUUGGCUCUGAUGGUUCCUAGAAACGGAAUGUUUGUGGCCCCACCGGCCCCCUAUUCAUAGUUUGAAACCUAAUCCCCAAUGUGAAGGUGUUUGGAGGCCCUGGGAGGCGAUUAGGGCAUCAGGGUGGGGCCGAUGCGGAUGGAUUCGUGCCCUUGUAAGCGGAGGAAGAGUCGGAGUUCUCCCAUCGCUGCCUGAGGACGAGGCAAGAACACGGGCUCAGGGAACAGUGAGCUGGCCCUCACCAGACUCAGAAUCUGCUUGAUCCUGGACUUUCCAGCCUCUAGGACUGUGAGAAAUAAAUGUCUGCUGUUUAUAA